GAUGAAGAACGUAGCGAAAUGCGAUAAGUAAUGUGAAUUGCAGAAUUCAGUGAAUCAUCGAAUCUUUGAACGCACAUUGCGCCCCCUGGUAUUCCGGGGGGCAUGCCUGUUCGAGUGUCAUGAAAUCUCAACCAUUAGGGUUUCUUAAUGGCUUGGAUUUGGAGGCUGCCAUUCUAAAUGGCUCCUCUUAAAGGAGUUAGCAAGUUUUACUAUUGCUAUCUGGCGUAAUAAGUUUCGCUGGAAUGGUAUUGUGAAGCGUGCUUCUAAUCGUCUUCGGACAAUUACUUUGACUCUGGCCUCAAAUCAGGUAGGACUACCCGCUGAACUUAAGCAUAUCAAUAAGCGGAGGA
rnacentral:misc_RNA from 1 species